rnacentral:rRNA from 1 species
AGGAUUCCCCUAGUAACGGCGAGUGAACCGGGAAGAGCUCAAAUUUGAAAUCUGGCAGUCUUCGAUUGUCCGAGUUGUAAUCUAUAGAAGCGUUUUCCGUGCUGAACUGUGUAUAAGUCCCUUGGAACAGGGUAUCAAAGAGGGUGACAAUCCCGUACUUUACACAAUCAUCAGUGCUCUGUGAUACGUUCUCUACGAGUCGAGUUGUUUGGGAAUGCAGCUCAAAAUGGGUGGUAAAUUCCAUCUAAAGCUAAAUAUUGGCGAGAGACCGAUAGCGAACAAGUACCGUGAGGGAAAGAUGAAAAGCACUUUGGAAAGAGAGUUAAACAGUACGUGAAAUUGUUGAAAGGGAAACGAAAUUCAUGAAUCAUGUUUAUUGGACUCAGCCGUUCUUCGGUGUACUUCCUUUAAACGGGUCAACAUCAGUUUUGUCCGAUGGAUAAAGGUAGUAGGAAGGUGGCUCUCUCGGGAGUGUUAUAGCCUAUUGCUGCAUACAUUGGAUGAGACUGAGGACUGCAGCUUGCCUUUAUGGCCGGGGUCGCCCACGUCAAGCUAGGAGUGAC